AUUGAACGCUGGCGGCAUGCCUUACACAUGCAAGUCGAACGGCAGCGCGGACUUCGGUCUGGCGGCGAGUGGCGAACGGGUGAGUAAUGUAUCGGAACGUACCAUUCAGUGGGGGAUAGCGCAGCGAAAGUUGCGCUAAUACCGCAUAUUCUGUGCGCAGGAAAGCAGGGGAUCGCAAGACCUUGCGCUGAUUGAGCGGCCGAUGUCAGAUUAGCUAGUUGGUGAGGUAAAGGCUCACCAAGGCGACGAUCUGUAGCGGGUCUGAGAGGAUGAUCCGCCACACUGGAACUGAGACACGGUCCAGACUCCUACGGGAGGCAGCAGUGGGGAAUUUUGGACAAUGGGGGCAACCCUGGUCCAGCCAUGCCGCGUGAGUGAAGAAGGCCUUCGGGUUGUAAAGCUCUUUCGGCCGGGAAGAAAUCGCACGGGCUAAUACCCUGUGUGGAUGACGGUACCGGAAUAAGAAGCACCGGCUAACUACGUGCCAGCCGCCGCCGUAAUAC
rnacentral:rRNA from 1 species